GACGAACGCUGGCGGCGUGCCUAAUACAUGCAAGUCGAACGCUUCUUUCCUCCCGAGUGCUUGCACUCAAUUGGAAAGAGGAGUGGCGGACGGGUGAGUAACACGUGGGUAACCUACCCAUCAGAGGGGGAUAACACUUGGAAACAGGUGCUAAUACCGCAUAACAGUUUAUGCCGCAUGGCAUAAGAGUGAAAGGCGCUUUCGGGUGUCGCUGAUGGAUGGACCCGCGGUGCAUUAGCUAGUUGGUGAGGUAACGGCUCACCAAGGCCACGAUGCAUAGCCGACCUGAGAGGGUGAUCGGCCACACUGGGACUGAGACACGGCCCAGACUCCUACGGGAGGCAGCAGUAGGGAAUCUUCGGCAAUGGACGAAAGUCUGACCGAGCAACGCCGCGUGAGUGAAGAAGGUUUUCGGAUCGUAAAACUCUGUUGUUAGAGAAGGACAAGGACGUUAGUAACUGAACGUCCCCUGACGGUAUCUAACCAGAAAGCCACGGCUAACUACGUG
rnacentral:rRNA from 1 species